GACGAAGGGGGCUAGCGUUGUUCGGAAUUACUGGGCGUAAAGCGAGUGUAGGCGGUUUAUCUAGUCAGGCGUGAAAGCCUUGAGCUCAACUCAAGAAAUGCGCUUGAUACUGGUAGACUCGAGUGCCGGAGAGGAUAGUGGAAUUUCCAGUGUAGUGGUGAAAUACGUAGAGAUUGGGAAGAACACCAGUGGCGAAGGCGGCUAUCUGGACGGUUACUGACGCUAAGACUCGAAAGCGUGGGGAGCAAACAGG
rnacentral:rRNA from 1 species